rnacentral:rRNA from 1 species
GAGUUUGAUCGUGGCUCAGGAUGAACGCUGGCGGCGUGCUUAACACAUGCAAGUCGAGCGGAGCACAUCAUUGGAAUCCUUCGGGAGGAAGAGGAUGUGGCUUAGCGGCGGACGGGUGAGUAACGCGUGGACAACCUGCCCUAUGCAGGGGAUAACAUCCGGAAACGGGUGCUAAUACCGCAUAAGCGCACAGUACCGCAUGGUACAGUGUGAAAAGCUGAGGCGGCAUAGGACGGGUCCGCGUUGGAUUAGGCAGUUGGCGGGGUAACGGCCCACCAAACCGACGAUCCAUAGCCGGCCUGAGAGGGUGGACGGCCACAUUGGGACUGAGACACGGCCCAGACUCCUACGGGACGGCAGCAGUGGGGAAUAUUGCACAAUGGGGGGAACCCUGAUGCAGCGACGCCGCGUGGUGA